GCUUGACUGUAUCCUGGAAUUGGGUUCGGCUUUUCUUGCGCAGCCUAGGUGGGAGGCAUUGAAGAUUUCUUUCCGGGGAAGUUGGAGCCAUCAGUGAGAGACCACUCUGGAGAGGCUAGAAUCCUAAUGGUGAUCCUUGAAUCAGGAUACUUGACAGUUUCAGGUGGCAGUUUGUCUGGGCGGAAACCUCAUAAAAGGUAACUGAGGCUGCGCAAAGGUUCCCUCAGGCUGGACGGAAAUCAGACAUACGAGUGUAAAGGCAAAAGGAGCUUGACUGCAAGAGUGACAACUCAAGCAGGGACGAAAGUCGGCCUUAGUGAUCCGACGGCACUGCAUGGAAGGGCCGUCGCUCAACGGAUAAAAGUUA
rnacentral:rRNA from 1 species